GAGCCAGCAGGUGGUCCUGCCCCCGAGCGGCGGAGGGCGACACUACAACCUCGCCUACGUUUCUGCAGGGCAGCCCCGCCGCUGUUGAUGCCGGGUUGGCUACAGAACACUCAAAAAUUGCAAAGAGAAAUAUUGUGUUCUGGAAAUUCUUCUGAGCAUUUUUUUCCAAUAUCGUCCUUAUGCUCUUCUGAUCCUCUCUUGAACUGUUGGACUAAAGCAGCUGACGCUUCCACCAGCAACCAGAGUCAUCCUGUCCACUACUGUGGGAACAGAGGGUUUCCAUUUGGAACUGCAGACCGAGCCUAAAGUCUGGUGGCCCUUUGGUGCCAGGAUAGCAGAAAUGAUUCUACCAAUGCCAGCGGCAUGCACCAGAAACCAGGAAGGAAUCAUACAGCUGAGCCAAACUGCUGUACUUUAAAACACUUGACCACAAUUCUCCAGU